rnacentral:rRNA from 1 species
CCUACGGGGGGCUGCAGCAAGGAAUUUUCGGCAAUGGGGGCAACCCUGACCGAGCAACGCCGCGUGGAUGAUGAAGUCUUUCGGGAUGUAAAAUCCUUUUCUCUAGGAAGAACACAGACGGUACUAGAGGAAUAAGCAUCGGCUAACUACGUGCCAGCAGCCGCGGUAAUACGUAGGAUGCAAGCGUUGUCCGGAAUUACUGGGCGUAAAGGGUGCGCAGGCGGCGGUUCAAGUCAGAUGUGAAAGUUUAGGGCUUAACCCUAAAGGGUCAUUUG